GCCUGGGUGGCUCAGUCGGUUGAGUGUCUGACUGCAGCUCAGGUUGUGAUCUCACAGUCCAUGGGUUCGAGUCCCGUGUUGGGCU
rfam:Felis catus isolate Cinnamon breed Abyssinian chromosome D1, whole genome shotgun sequence.